UAAAAAAUGCAAACCAUUGUCAUAAUUUUCUCAUCCCGGCUUCACUUCUGUUCGCGUCGUCGCUGGAAAACAACGCAGGCCUCUUUUGCGGGCUCAGUCUAAAUUCGCCGCACUUACGACGACGUAAUGCCUCUGUCAGUUUUCCGGUUCCAGAGUUAUUCUGUAUCAUCGCCGUUAAUCCGGUGCUUCAGGUCACAAGCAGCAUUGAAAGCAUUGGCUAAAGCAUCUGAAGACAAAGUCCCAAAUCUCAUCCUCUAUAAUUAUCCUUCAUUUUCCGGAGCUUUUGCCGCGCUUUUCACUCACCUCUAUCAUUCUCAUCUCAACCUACCUCACCUCAUCUUGCCUUUCUCUUCCGUCGAACCCUUCAGAGUUGAAGAUUUGUGUAUUGACGGGCUGCAGAAUUGCUACUUCCUUGAUUUUGUUGGUCCAAAAGGAUUUGCGGAGGAGCUUACUCGGCGGACCUCAUGCCAGAUAGUAGGGUUUGAUCACCGGAAGUCUGCUCUAUCCAAGAUCCCUUUGAAUCAAAGCUCUGGUGGGAGUCUCACAUUUCAUGUCAACCUCGAGAAAACUAGUUCAGUAGCUGUUUAUGAACAUUUCUCUUCUAGGCUUUCAGAGGUUGGAUCCAAUAAGACGGAUGCUAUCAGCUUGCUAAAUUCUACUUUUCAAGAUCGAGUUGAAAAUGUUCUAAAAUAUAUUGAAGAUGGAGAUCUUCACAGGUGGAGUUUGCCUGAUAUUAGGGCCUUUGGAAUUGGAAUUAACCAGUGGCGUUCAAAAUUGAACUGCAUCACUAAUCCACAUAUGUAUGAACAGCUAAUGGGGAUUCACACCGGUGAUUUAAUUGCUAGUGGAAACUCCCAUAUUUCAAAGAGACUGGCUGCAGCACACAAGUUGCUGGAUAAGUUUUUCAAAAUUCGGCUGGGGAGAGGACUUUAUGGUGAAUGCUUGGGGGUUAGAGCUGAUGGCGAUCCAGACUUAAGUGAUGAAAUUGGCAAGGAACUUAGCAAGAAAAGCGCUUCAGUUGGACUCAGGCCUAUAGGAGCAGUCAUAUACCUUCAGCGGAAGAAUCUCAAGAUGUGUCUGAGGACUGUAGAUGCUGCUACUGAUACUUCAGAAGUUGCCAAGGCAUAUGGUGGAGGUGGUUCUCCUUGUUCUAGCUCAUUUAUAAUUCGGAUGGAUGAGUAUAACCACUGGCGCUCAGUGCAUUCAUCCUAAGUGGGGUACAAUAUGAAUUCCCAUCCUCUUCAUAGUUAAGCCAACUCAUAUAAGAAUAACUGAAUUCCUUUUAAAUUUUUAUGUGAGAUGUAUGUAUUCUCGAAGUAAUCAUUUUGCUUAGGCAACUAAGAGGUAGUAUAUACUUAAAAUGGCAUCGAGGCAAUGCAGAAGUGCAAAAAGACAAAAUGUACAUCAAGAAAGGAGCAAGAAGAGGGAUGAGAUCUUGGAGGGACCAUUAGUAAAAUGAUAAAGUGAAUAUACCUGAACCAAGAACAUUGAUCGAGGGGGGAUCUUCAUAUAGUGACCCAAUUUGAAGUCGCUGAGGAAAGAGACAGCCUGUGACAUACUCAUGUACCCAUAGACUUUGAAGCACACAUUGGCUAUUGGUCGUCCUGGUAGUAUUAUUCCCAUGACAUAUUCAGUGAUUAUGUUCAAGCCUGGGGUCUGCAAAUUAGCAUCAUAAAUAAGAAGCUUGGAAAGAACUCUAUUGAAGUAACAAGCGUGAUUAUCUUGGAUUCGUUCUUGUAAUAAAUCCAACCAGUUUAAGGUAUCAGACAUCGACUUUGGGGCUUGCAUAUUGGUGCAAAACAUGCUUGUGGUGCUAAAUGUAAGUGUAAAUGUGUAUGCUUUAUCACCUGGUUUGUUGUAGCUGUUAUGAUGCUGAUUGGAAGUGUGAAGAUAAAAGCAAUAGCACUUGCAAAAAGAAGCCCCCACCAUGGCAUCUGGACUUGGUUAUUCAAGAAAAUGCAGAGGAUUAGGGAGAUUGCUAGUGUCACCAGAAGCAAUGCAUUAAACCACCACGAAGAUGAUUGACUGGUAUUCAUGAUUGAGGUAGGAUCUUGAUGACACCAGAGUCUGGUAAUCAGCAUGCAGACUAUAUCUGAAUUGUUGGUUGGUGCUCAGCAGUCAGCCUCUUCGUAAGCGGUGAAGUUUAAGGGAGGUUUUCAAAUGACUAUUGCAAAUUGUCAUUAUAUAAACCAAACACAUUGCAAAAGAGGUUAGUCUACUAACGAGUAACGAUCAACUGCUAAAUGCUAUCAACGUAAAAAUGUGAAUUCUCUUUGACGUGCCUCACCCCUUUUACUGAGUAGCAGGAGUUCUCAUAAGUCAUAUCUAUAGUAUUACGCUACUUGUGUUAUAAGAAUUAAAGUUAUAGCA